rnacentral:rRNA from 1 species
UAGGGAAUCUUCGGCAAUGGGGGGAACCCUGACCGAGCAACGCCGCGUGCGUGAAGAAGGUUUUCGGAUCGUAAAGCUCUGUUGUUAAGGAAGAACGAGUGUGAGAAUGGAAAGUUCAUACUGUGACGGUACUUAACCAGAAAGGGACGGCUAACUACGUGCCAGCAGCCGCGGUAAUACGUAGGUCCCGAGCGUUGUCCGGAUUUAUUGGGCGUAAAGCGAGCGCAGGCGGUUAGAUAAGUCUGAAGUUAAAGGCAGUGGCUCAACCAUUGUAGGCUUUGGAAACUGUUUAACUUGAGUGCAGAAGGGGAGAGUGGAAUUCCAUGUGUAGCGGUGAAAUGCGUAGAUAUAUGGAGGAACACCGGUGGCGAAAGCGGCUCUCUGGUCUGUAACUGACGCUGAGGCUCGAAAGCGUGGGGAGCGAACAGG